GGGCGGCACCGGCGCUCGCUGCCGCAAGGCGGGUGCGGGCGGGGAAACGUUGAGCAUUGAGGACAGUCGGACUGUGCAGGGGGGGCGUGGCGGCUCCAUGGGAGUGAAAUUCACAUGGGAUCGUGUUAGCAAUUCACUAGCUUUAUUUGGGCUCUCUGAAGUUCCUUGGUCUCUUCUAGUGUUUGUUAUAACAAGAACAGGAGAUUAGAAGGAGGCUUUACUUCCUCCCUAAAGUUUCAGCUAGUUUCUUCAAUCUUUUCUUCAACUCCAGAGGAAACUUCUCAUAGCAUUUCUUGCAGACAGGCUUCAUAUCAAAUUCAACAAAUUUGU